GCUCCUGUAGAUCUUUCCAACCCUUAGUCAUUAAACAAAGUCCUGUUUAAUAGAAUCAUUGGUCUCCCCUUGCAUCAUCCUCUCUAUCACCCUCAUGCUGCUGUUGGCAAGGCCAGCCUAUGCAGCACCACUCCCUUCUAUGGAGACUCCAGAUGGGUUUCUCUUGGAAAAGACUUUGGAUGUCUGCCUGCCUGCCUGAGCAGUUGCCUGCCCUUUUGGGUGUCAGUUGUACUUGCACACGGUGAGUAAGGCUUGUGGGAUGCUUCCUGCUCCAUGGAAACCUGGGGAGCUUCAGAGCCACCUUUCCCACCUUGCAGGGCCAUUGGCCUGCACUGUGUCCCUGGAGACCCAUCUUUACCCUUUUUUUUUCCUCUUUUCUUGUAGAAAUAAGGAUGGAUGUGCUGAUAUGUGCAACAGACUGAGAGCAGGUAAUGCAAGAGAAAGUCCUGCUCGGGCUUCCCUCCUACGGAGACCAUAGGGUUUGUUUUUAAGGCAUCCUUGCUCUGAAUAAAGAUACCAGUAGUGGCAGUCUCCAUAAUUUUGUAGUGGUGGUCUCUUUCUGAGGCUUGAGCACACCUAUUGUGCCUGGGCAGUGUGAAGGUGUCAAGGUCCACCCCAAACAGUGCAUGUUGCUGCAAACCUUCAUGAGCUGUGGUGCAGUACGAAAGGGAGAGGGAGAGCAAGAGGUCAGUAAAUAGCGCUUUGGCUGAAAUUCUUGACAUUGAAGUCAUUUAAGUCUUGUUAAUAUGGCGAUCUCACCUGCUGGUUUUGGCCCACAGUAAUCUUGGCUACCAGAUCUACCCAACCAUCAUGGGAGACCAUUUGUUUGGGGUCCUAUGUCUGACUGUCUGGAAAAGGGAAUCGUGGUCUUGCAAAGUUGCUUUCUGUGGAUGCUAGACUAAUGGGUGGAUACAGGAUUCGCUCAGUGGAGAGGAGAAGCCAGCCCAUCUCCUGUCCUUCUCACAGAAUAAUAUUGUUUCUGGUUGCCCUCUGGCUAGGGUGCACUAAAAUGUUAAUAUAUGAGAUGUACAUGUAAAUAUGUUUCCCAAAGAUGGGAUGUGCACAGAGUUGUUUGCUGCAGAGCACUCAUGCCUGUCUUCCAUUUGCAUCAGGAUGAAGCUACCUGUAUGUUUAAUGAGUUUAAUUUUCAGUGCCAUGCAGCAGGUUUAUAACUGAUGUUUUAGUAAUUUAUUGUACAGAAGCAGAUAUCUUUCAUUGUUCCUUCUACAGCCCAUGAGCAUUGCAUAGGACUGAUCGUUCAUUUAGGCUUGACAAGACUUCCUCGUUCAUUGGGGUUGUCUCCUAUUUUUUUCCCUUCUUUAAUGAAGCAAAACCUCUUAGUUGUCCUGAAUUGCAAAGUAGGGAGUCAAUGUAGAAUUUUUCUCUCUUACUCACUGUGGCAUCAUCUCUUGUGUAAUAAAUUUUAGCACUUACAAAACCAAUAUCAUCACAAUGUCUUCAGAUGCAUGAUGUGUUUCCCCUUGCAUUGCUGCUGCCUCCCAAGGAAAGCUAUUUAUUGAUGAGGUGGCAUCCAGGAAAAGUCUGGGGGAUUUGAGACUUCACAGCUAAUGGUCAAAAUGGUAAAAUGCCCUGUAACUGAGCCAUCAGGUUGCUGUCAGUCAUCAGUGGAAGCCACAUACUGUUUAGUGUUGGGAAGAGCCUGCAUGUUUCAGGAUAAACAACAAAAAAGCCUUGGAUGUUGCCUGUGCUCUAAUUCAUGGUUCCCCAGUCCAGCUCUACUUCUGCCAGUGCUCAGGGUGCCAACAGAUGGGCUUUGUCAGAUUUAAUCUGGUGGUAUAAGGUGUCACCACCGCCAGCCUUCCAUCUGCUUCAGCUGCUGGAGGUUUCUGUCGCCGUCACCGGCAGCAGAGAUGAAUGUGUGGCUGCACCUCGGCUACCACAGUUGGCAGGACGUGCUUCAGCCGGCAGGCAGGACGGGCUUGCUCUAUUGAACACACAGGAUUGUCAGCCAGAGUCGCUCUGGAAUGUCCACACAGCUCGGCGCAGGAGGCAGCAACCGCCGAGCAUCACCAGCUGCCUUGGUGGCAUUUGUGUGGCCUGUUGGAGAUGAUGCGUGUGCACUUGGGACCUUGUCCUCAGGCAACACAAGACGACCUGGCAAUGAGGAUCCUGUUGGUGAUGGGCUCUUUUAUCCUGUGGAAUAGUAAGUUUCAGAGAUGCCUUUCCUUCGUGCUCCACACAGAAAACGUUAUCGAAUAGGAAGGGGACAGUGGAGGUGAACACGUUACUCCAGGACCCUCAGGUGGGGCAGAAACCCUGAAGAGGUGUUUUCCCCAUUCUCCAUGGUGUACAUAGAGUGCUUUCAAAUGACUGAAAAGAAGAAGCAUGAGUAAAAUCGGGAUUAAAAGUGCAAAUUGAAUCUGCUGUGUGAGUGUAGCUGAAGUUCUGUUCUGACAUUGGUUUGUGACAUGCAGAGAUGAUUGCUGAGGCGACGACCCGAGGUCUGCCCCCUCUGAAACCAUAGAAAUCUGUCUUGGAAAUCUGGAUCUAAGUGUUGCAUCUUGCGCUUAUCUCUAAUAAUAUGUUAAUUGCUUUAAAAAGUGAUUUCAAAGUGGUUCCUAUUAAAUAUAUGAUUUGA